UACGUAGGGUGCAAGCGUUAAUCGGAAUUACUGGGCGUAAAGCGUGCGCAGGCGGUUGUGCAAGACAGAUGUGAAAUCCCCGGGCUCAACCUGGGAACUGCAUUUGUGACUGCACGGCUGGAGUGCGGCAGAGGGGGGAUGGAAUUCCGCGUGUAGCAGUGAAAUGCGUAGAUAUGCGGAGGAACACCGAUGGCGAAGGCAAUCCCCCUGGGCCUGCACUGACGCUCAUGCACGAAAGCGUGGGGAGCAAACAGG
rnacentral:rRNA from 1 species